rnacentral:lncRNA from 1 species
AUGGAUCAAACCUGCAUCUUAAAAACAUACAUCUCUGAAGAUUCUUUUGUAUUAUUCUUAAAGCGCAACAAAUAUUUGUGGGUCUUACUGUCUUCUCUAAUGUCUUGUUGCAAAUAUGAAGUAUUCUUCUGUAACAGUGAGCAUCUGUAUCUAAAACCGAGGUGCUUUGCUGCAAGUAUGCAAAUCUGGGGGCUCCCGAAGCUUUUGAGAUCUACGUGUGCAGGAGGAAAGGCAGAAUUCAAAAACGCUGUGUUGCAGGAGCAAGCAAAGGUCUGCAUUUGGAAGUACACCCAAGACCUCCAUUAAAGAUAUGAUGGUCCACUUGAAGGCUUACAGAAAACAAACAUAUGAACAUUCCAGUCUGUCUGAGAAGAGCUGUAGAAACAAUCAAUAAAAUGUG